UAUGGAGGAUCCAAGCGUUAUCCGGAAUCAUUGGGUUUAAAGGGUCCGUAGGCGGUUUUAUAAGUCAGUGGUGAAAUCUGGUCGCUCAACGAUCAAACGGCCAUUGAUACUGUAGAACUUGAAUUACUUGGAAGUAACUAGAAUAUGUAGUGUAGCGGUGAAAUGCUUAGAGAUUACAUGGAAUACCAAUUGCGAAGGCAGGUUACUACAAGUUGAUUGACGCUGAUGGACGAAAGCGUGGGGAGCGAACAGG
rnacentral:rRNA from 1 species